ensembl:misc_RNA Metazoa_SRP Metazoan signal recognition particle RNA
GCUGGGCGUGGUGGUGCAUGCCUGUAAUCCCAGCUACUUGGGAGGCUGAGGCAGGAGAAUCACUUGAACCCAGGAGGCAGAGGCUGCAGUGAGCCGAGAUGGCGCCACUGCACUCAAGCCUGGGCAACAGAGUGAGAUUCUGUCUCAA